GACGAACGCUGGCGGCGUGCUUAACACAUGCAAGUCGAACGAAGAGCGAUGGAAGCUUGCUUCUAUCAAUCUUAGUGGCGAACGGGUGAGUAACGCGUAAUCAACCUGCCCUUCAGAGGGGGACAACAGUUGGAAACGACUGCUAAUACCGCAUACGAUCCAAUCUCGGCAUCGGGACUGGAUGAAAGGUGGCCUCUAUUUAUAAGCUAUCACUGAAGGAGGGGAUUGCGUCUGAUUAGCUAGUUGGAGGGGUAACGGCCCACCAAGGCGAUGAUCAGUAGCCGGUCUGAGAGGAUGGACGGCCACAUUGGGACUGAGACACGGCCCAGACUCCUACGGGAGGCAGCAGUGGGGAAUCUUCCGCAAUGGACGAAAGUCUGACGGAGCAACGCCGCGUGAGUGAUGACGGCCUUCGGGUUGUAAAGCUCUGUUAAUCGGGACGAAUGGUUCUUGUGCGAAUAGUGCGAGGAUUUGACGGUACCGGAAUAGAAAGCCACGGCUAACUACGUG
rnacentral:rRNA from 1 species